UUGCUUACUUCGGCAGCACAUAUACUGAAAUUGGAACAAUACAGAGAAGAUUAGCGCAAGGAUGACAUGCAAAUUAGUGAAGCGUUCCAUAUUUUU
ensembl:snRNA U6 U6 spliceosomal RNA